rnacentral:piRNA from 1 species
CAGGCUCUCUGCUGUAAAACACUGCCC